CGGGUUGUAGCUGCGGAGAUCAUUAAUGAAUUCACUAUGGAGUUGUUGCUGGCCUCUAGGGGCAUGUGCACGCUUCACUAGUCUUUCAACCACCUGUGAACUUUUGAUAGAUCUGUGAAGUCGUCCUUCAAGUCGUCAGACUUGGUUUGCUGGGAUUUAAACGUCUCGGUGUGACAACGCAGUCUAUUUACUUAACACACCCCAAAUGUAUGUCUACGAAUGUCAUUUAAUGGGCCUUGUGCCUAUAAACCAUAAUACAACUUUCAACAACGGAUCUCUUGGCUCUCGCAUCGAUGAAGAACGCAGCGAAAUGCGAUAAGUAAUGUGAAUUGCAGAAUUCAGUGAAUCAUCGAAUCUUUGAACGCACCUUGCGCCCCUUGGUAUUCCGAGGGGCAUGCCUGUUUGAGUGUCAUUAAAUUCUCAAACUCACAUUUAUUUGUGAUGUUUGGAUUGUUGGGGGUUGCUGGCUGUAACAAGUCGGCUCCUCUUAAAUGCAUUAGCAGGACUUCUCAUUGCCUCUGCGCAUGAUGUGAUAAUUAUCACUCAUCAAUAGCACGCAUGAAUAGAGUCCAGCUCUCUAAUCGUCCGCAAGGACAAUUUGACAAUUUGACCUCAAAUCAGGUAGGACUACCCGCUGAACUUAAGCAUAUCAUACCGGGGAGAGGACGUA
rnacentral:rRNA from 1 species